GCUCAGCCGCGGGCUCGGGAGCCGGAGCGGAGCGCCUGGCGGCCGCCCCGGCACCCCCACCCUCGGCGGCCGUCCAUGCCCGCGGCUCCCUGGGCCCGCGGCCCUCCCCAGCGCUGCGCUGCGCCGCCCUGCCCGGCGGGGGCGGGGCCGGGGCCGGGCUGGCGAGGCCGGGCCGGGCCGCAGGGCGGCCGCGGGGAUGCGGGGCUGGCGGAGGAACCUCGCGCUCUGCCUGCAGCGGCUGCCGGACGAAGGUAAGACGCGGCCGCUGCCCGGCCGGUGAGCGCGCGCGCGGCGCGGGGUGCGGAGGGCGGACCCAGAGCUGAGCUGGCCCGGGGCGCACACGCCUGGGGCGCCGGGGAGGGUCCCCGCGGGAGGCGAAGACAGGCGCCGGCACCCGAGGCGCAGGAGGGGGUCCCAAAGUGGGGAGCCUGGAGGAUCACCUCAGGACGCGAGCUGCGGAGCGGAGCCUGGUCCCGGAAAGCCAGCAGUGGGGCCCACGGGGCGCGGGAGUGUGGGACCCGGGGCAGGGCGCCCGCCGGGGGCUGGAGCGAAGGGUCUGAGCCCUCGAGGGGGCAUCCACCGGCCCGGCCGGCGGGUCGGGCUCCUGGAGGGAGCCCUGGCUUGGCGAGGCGGCCACGUGCCUCACCUGCUCCCUCCAGCCAGCCCGCCGGGUGUCGGGAGGUGGCCGCGCUCACGGUGGGGGUCCUUUGGCCCCCGAGGCUGCGGUCCGUCGCACCCAACUUUCCUUUGAACGCCCGGCGCCACCCCCAUGCCGACCCCGGAGUCCGCGGUUACUCAAAGUUGCGAGGAGGCCAGGGAGGGGGCUGACUCGCCGCACUGCCCCCUGCCCGGGCCUGCCCCUGCACAGCAGCGCUGCGGCUCAACCCCUGCGCGGGGCCGCCCGGGCUGCUCCCCGCGUACCUGUUGUCUGACCGCGAGGGGGCGGGAGGAGGAAGGAGGACCCGCGCCUGGGUCCUGCCACUGCUGAGGAAAAGUUUGGAUUUGGUGCUAAUGAAGAAUUUUCAGAACUGGGAGUCGGGGGCAGGGUGAGGUCACAGUGGUGGCUGCUCACCCGCUGCUCACUUUGGGGGGCAUAAUGGCUGACUUCGAGGCCCCGCAGACUGUGCACAUCGCCCCUGCCUUUGACCUUCACAAUCACCCCCUUAGGAGGGCGCUAUUUUUCUUUCGCUUUGCAGAUAAGGACACUGAGCCUCAAAGAGGUAAAGCCCCUUGCCCAAGGUCACACAGCCAGCAGGUGGUAGAGCUGCCCGGGAACCUAAAUCUAUGUGACCCGCAAGCUUUUAGUAGUUUCCAGGCCUCCCACCUUCUUCCAGUCUGCCCCCCAGGUUGGGCCUCUCUCAGUCUAGUGGGAAAGUUUCCAUUUCCAGCCCAGGCCCAGAGCUCCUGUGUGGGACUUGGGGUAGGGUGGAGGAAGACGGAGAGAGCUGGUCCCUGCCCCUCCUGUCCUGUCCCAGGGCCAAGUAGGGUCUGUCUUCUCGGCCCCACUGAGAUCCUGGGUUGUGAGGGGUUGCAGGCAGAGCCCGUGGAGGGUCUUGCUUAGACAGCCAUUAAGCCUUAGCCAGUGCCUCAGACCCUGGUGGGCCUAUAGGUGUGCCCAGCGAGGGAGCAGACCCUCCACUCCUCGCCUGACCUGAGUUGGUGCGGAUGGAGCAGCUUUAGGGUAGAGAGGGUGCCUAGGUUUCCUUCCUUGAGAUUGAGGGAGGAGGCAGGGGAGAAGGGCUGCCAAUAAGGAGGGGGGCGGUGUCUUGGAGGAGUGCCUCUACUCAACGGAGCUGCCCCCAAGGAGCAGGGCUAAUUAAGAAGGAAAUCUCGCAGAGCCAGGUGCCCACCACUAACUUUCGUCUGAGCAUGCCCUGUGAUCUUGGACAAGCCUCUCUCAGGCUCACUUUCUGCCUC
rnacentral:lncRNA from 1 species